AUUGAACGCUGGCGGCAUGCCUUACACAUGCAAGUCGAACGGUAACAGGUCUUCGGAUGCUGACGAGUGGCGAACGGGUGAGUAAUACAUCGGAACGUGCCUAGUAGUGGGGGAUAACUACUCGAAAGAGUGGCUAAUACCGCAUGAGAUCUACGGAUGAAAGCAGGGGAUCGCAAGACCUUGUGCUACUAGAGCGGCUGAUGGCAGAUUAGGUAGUUGGUGGGAUAAAAGCUUACCAAGCCGACGAGCUGUAGCUGGUCGGAGAGGACGAUCAGCCACACUGGGACUGAGACACGGCCCAGACUCCUACGGGAGGCAGCAGUGGGGAAUUUUGGACAAUGGGCGAAAGCCUGAUCCAGCAAUGCCGCGUGCAGGAUGAAGGCCUUCGGGUUGUAAACUGCUUUUGUACGGAACGAAAAGCCCCGGGUUAAUACCCUGGGGUCAUGACGGUACCGUAAGAAUAAGCACCGGCUAACUACGUGCCAGCAGCCGCCGUAA
rnacentral:rRNA from 1 species